AUUGAACGCUGGCGGCAGGCCUAACACAUGCAAGUCGAACGAGAGGCGGACGGGUGAGUAAUGGCUGGGAAACUGCCUGCUGGAGGGGGAUGACUACUGGAAACGGUAGCUAAUACCGCAUACCAUCGGAUGUGCCCAGAUGGGAUUAGCACGUAGGUUGGGUAAAGGCUCACCUAGGCGCCGAUCCCUAGCUGGUCUGAGAGGAUGAACAGCCACACUGGAACUGCGACAUGGUCCAGACUCCUACGGGAGGCAGCAGUGGGGAAUAUUGCACAAUGGGCGCAAGCCGGAUGCAGCCAUGCCGCGUGUAUGAAGAAGGCCUUCGGGUUGUAAAGUUCUUUCAGCGGGGAGGCGUUACCCGCAGAAGAAGCACCGGCUAACUCCGUGCCAGCAGCCGCGGUAAUAC
rnacentral:rRNA from 1 species